rnacentral:rRNA from 1 species
AUUGAACGCUGGCGGCAUGCCUUACACAUGCAAGUCGAACGGCAGCACGGGAGCAAUCGUGGUGGCGAGUGGCGAACGGGUGAGUAAUACAUCGGAACGUGCCCAAUCGUGGGGGAUAACGCAGCGAAAGCUGUGCUAAUACCGCAUACGAUCUACGGAUGAAGGCAGGGGAUCGCAAGACCUUGCGCGAAUGGAGCGGCCGAUGGCAGAUUAGGUAGUUGGUGAGGUAAAGGCUCACCAAGCCGUCGAUCUGUAGCUGGUCUGAGAGGACGACCAGCCACACUGGGACUGAGACACGGCCCAGACUCCUACGGGAGGCAGCAGUGGGGAAUUUUGGACAAUGGGCGAAAGCCUGAUCCAGCCAUGCCGCGUGCAGGAUGAAGGCCUUCGGGUUGUAAACUGCUUUUGUACGGAACGAAACGGCCUUUUCUAAUAAAGAGGGCUAAUGACGGUACCGUAAGAAUAAGCACCGGCUAACUACGUGCCAGCAGCCGCGGUAAUACGUAGGGUGCAAGCGUUAAUCGGAAUUACUGGGCGUAAAGCGUGCGCAGGCGGUUAUGUAAGACAGUUGUGAAAUCCCCGGGCUCAACCUGGGAACUGCAUCUGUGACUGCAUAGCUAGAGUACGGUAGAGGGGGAUGGAAUUCCGCGUGUAGCAGUGAAAUGCGUAGAUAUGCGGAGGAACACCGAUGGCGAAGGCAAUCCCCUGGACCUGUACUGACGCUCAUGCACGAAAGCGUGGGGAGCAAACAGG